rnacentral:rRNA from 1 species
GGGACGGGUGAGUAACACGUGGAUAACCUGCCUAUAAGACUGGGAUAACUUCGGGAAACCGGAGCUAAUACCGGAUAAUAUAUUGAACCGCAUGGUUCAAUAGUGAAAGACGGUUUUGCUGUCACUUAUAGAUGGAUCCGCGCCGCAUUAGCUAGUUGGUAAGGUAACGGCUUACCAAGGCAACGAUGCGUAGCCGACCUGAGAGGGUGAUCGGCCACACUGGAACUGAGACACGGUCCAG